rnacentral:rRNA from 1 species
GAUGAACGCUGGCGGCGUGCCUAAUACAUGCAAGUCGAGCGAACGGACGAGAAGCUUGCUUCUCUGAUGUUAGCGGCGGACGGGUGAGUAACACGUGGAUAACCUACCUAUAAGACUGGGAUAACUUCGGGAGACCGUAGCUAAUACCGGAUAAUAUUUUGAACCGCAUGGUUCAAAAGUGAAAGACGGUCUUGCUGUCACUUAUAGAUGGAUCCGCGCUGCAUUAGCUAGUUGGUAAGGUAACGGCUUACCAAGGCAACGAUGCAUAGCCGACCUGAGAGGGUGAUCGGCCACACUGGAACUGAGACACGGUCCAGACUCCUACGGGAGGCAGAAGUAGGGAAUCUUCCGCAAUGGGCGAAAGCCUGACGGAGCAACGCCGCGUGAGUGAUGAAGGUCUUCGGAUCGUAAAACUCUGUUAUUAGGGAAGAACAUAUGUGUAAGUAACUGUGCACAUCUUGACGGUACCUAAUCAGAAAGCCACGGCUAACUACGUG